UACGGAGGGUGCAAACGUUGCUCGGAAUUAUUGGGCGUAAAGCGCACGUAGGCGGCCUAUCAAGUCGGGUGUGAAAGCCCUGGGCUCAACCCAGGAAGUGCAUUCGAAACUGACAGGCUUGAAUAUGGAAGAGGGUUGCGGAAUUCCCGGUGUAGAGGUGAAAUUCGUAGAUAUCGGGAGGAACACCAGUGGCGAAGGCGGCAACCUGGGCCAAUAUUGACGCUGAGGUGCGAAAGCGUGGGGAGCAAACAG
rnacentral:rRNA from 1 species